rnacentral:rRNA from 1 species
GACGAACGCUGGCGGCGUGCUUAACACAUGCAAGUCGAACGGAAAGGCCCUGCUUUUGUGGGGUGCUCGAGUGGCGCACGGGUGAGUAACACGUGAGUAACCUGCCCUUGAUUUUGGGAUAACUUCAGGAAACUGGGGCUAAUACCGGAUAUGAUCUCCUGCUGCAUGGUGUGGGUUGGAAAGUUUCGGCGGUUGGGGAUGGACUCGCGGCUUAUCCGCUUGUUGGUGGGGUAGUGGCUUACCAAGGCUUUGACGGGUAGCCGGCCUGAGAGGGUGACCGGCCACAUUGGGACUGAGAUACGGCCCAGACUGCUACGGGAGGCAGCAGUGGGGAAUAUUGCAGAAUGGGCGGAAGCCUGAUGCAGAAACGCCGGGUGCGGGAUGACGGCCUUCGGGUGGUAAACAGCUGUCGCCUGUGACGAAGCGUGAGUGACGGUAAUGGGUAAAGAAGCACCGGCUAACUACGUG